rnacentral:pre_miRNA from 1 species
GGGGGGAGGCCGGAUCCUGGGCUGUGUCCCGGCGCCCUGGGUUCCGGGGCCUGCGCUGUUGGAUUCGCGCUCCCGCCCCGCAGCCCCCU